rnacentral:misc_RNA from 1 species
GCGAUAAGUAAUGUGAAUUGCAGCAUUCAGUGAAUCAUCGAAUCUUUGAACGCACCUUGCGCUCCUUGGUAUUCCUUGGAGCAUGCCUGUUUGAGUAUCAUGAAAUCUUCAAAGUAAAUCUUUUGUUAACUCAAUUGGUUUCUACUUUGGUAUUGGAGGUCUUUGCAGCUUCACACCUGCUCCUCUUUGUUCAUUAGCUGGAUCUCAGUGUUAUGCUUGGUUCCACUCGGCGUGAUAAGUUAUCUAUCGCUGAGGACACUGUAAAAGGUGGCCAAGGUAAAUGCAGAUGAACCGCUUCUAAUAGUCCAUUGACUUGGACAAUACUUUUAUGAUCUGAUCUCAAAUCAGGUAGAACUACCCGCUGAACUUAAGC